GGAAUAUUGCACAAUGGGGGAAACCCUGAUGCAGCGACGCCGCGUGAGUGAAGAAGUAUUUCGGUACGUAAAGCUCUAUCAGCAGGGAAGAAAAAAAGUCCUUUGGACUUUGGACGGUACCUGACCAAGAAGCCCCGGCUAACUACGUGCCAGCAGCCGCGGUAAUACGUAGGGGGCAAGCGUUAUCCGGAUUUACUGGGUGUAAAGGGAGCGUAGACGGCGGGGCAAGUCUGGAGUGAAAGGCCGGGGCCCAACCCCGGGACCGCUCUGGAAACUGCCCGGCUGGAGUGCGGGAGAGGUAAGCGGAAUUCCUAGUGUAGCGGUGAAAUGCGUAGAUAUUAGGAGGAACACCAGCGGCGAAGGCGGCUUACUGGACCGUGACUGACGUUGAGGCUCGAAAGCGUGGGGAGCAAACAG
rnacentral:rRNA from 1 species